GGGGAUUUGGCUUAGUGGUAGAGCGCUUGCCUAGCAAGCACAAGGCCCUGGGUUCGGACCCCAGCUCUG
rnacentral:tRNA from 1 species